rnacentral:miRNA from 14 species
AUAUAUAUAUAUAUAUAUAUAUAUAUAUAUAUAUAUACAUAUAUAUACAUAUAUACACAUAUAUACAUAUAUAUACAUAUAUACACAUAUAUACAUACAUACAUACAUAUA